rnacentral:rRNA from 1 species
UACAGAGGUCCCAAGCGUUGUUCGGAUUCAUUGGGCGUAAAGGGUGCGUAGGCGGCGCGGUAAGUCGGGUGUGAAAUCUCGGAGCUUAACUCCGAAACUGCAUUCGAUACUGCCGUGCUUGAGGACUGGAGAGGAGACUGGAAUUUACGGUGUAGCGGUGAAAUGCGUAGAUAUCGGGAGGAACACCAGAGGCGAAGGCGGGUUACUGGGCUGAUACUGACGCUGAUGCGCGAAAGCCAGGGGAGCAAACGGG